CCUUACCUAGCUGAUGGGGUUCGUAUCCAUGGAGAGAAGGUGUCUGAGGCUCUGAGGCCUUUCCAUGACCGCCUGGAGGCCUGCUUCAAACAGCUCAGAGAGAAAGUGGAGAAACAGUACGGAGUCAAGACUCUGCCUGCGGUGGAUGACAGACGUGGGACCCGUCCUCGCUCUAUGCUGCGUUCCUUCACCAUGCCCUCACAACAGAGACCACUCUCUGUGGCUUCAGUCAACUCCAUCUCCUCUGACAACUCCCCCUCUCGACCUGGCUCAGACGGCUUUGCCCUAGAGCCUCUCCUGCCAAAGAAGUUGCACUGCAAGUUCCAGGAUAAGCUGGAGCGCGACGAGUCGGAGGGAGAGGAAGGACAAGAAGAAAGAGAAGA